UAUGAUGGUUUGAAAAAUUUAGUAUAAAUUCAGCACCCUUUUCUCAGGUUUAGCCUCAGAAGGGAAAAGAUAUCAGAACACGGAUCCUGUAAAUUUCUUACCUCAUUCAAAUUAAACUGCUGGAAGGAUUGUGAUCAACUUUUUUUGUGAAAGAUGAAUAACUUGGGAAUUCGGAAUGUGUACAUCCUAAACGCCGCUGAAGGAGGCGGUGGCGGCGGGGGUGGUGGUGGCGGAAGCGGAUUUACUGGAAGCGGAUACAAAUAAUUGAAUAAUGUUGGGAAGAAAUAUUAUAAAAUACUUGAAUAAAUAUUGUUGCAAUUAAAUUUGAUUUUUCAACGAUUCUUUUAUUUCGCGAUCUCAUUAAUAAACUUAUUGGUCAUGUCCAAAACAUAAAUUCGCACCUUGCAGGUGGUCACAAUGCAUGUUAAAGUUUUUAGAGGAAAAUGCCCGCAAGAUUCGCCUUUUACUGAAUAUUUAGUUUAUUCAAAUGUCGCAAAUCAUCAGUUUACACUGCAUGCUUUUCAGAUCAAGACACAAUUAAUUUUGAAUACACACAUAAUAACAUAAUCUCAAACAUUUUGAAGUAAUAUAAAUACAAUUUCCGUGUCAAUAUCGCUUUUUUGUGAUAAUUGGCGAUUGUAUCGAGUGAAAAACAAUUAACGGAUAUGACGAGUAAACCGGUGGGGAUCAAUCUUAUCCGCAGACAUUGUUAAUUUGCUGGCUCAUUGUUCCUCCCAAAUUGGGAGGAACGAUAACUAAUUUCAGUGAAGGAAACUCGUUCACUUUAAAUAUUUUGUGCAUAAUUGUAUAAAGGCAAUUUCACCCACUUUGUGGGAAUGUGCCGACAAAUCUUAUCGAGUAGGUGGGGGUAACGGGUUGAAAUGAAUUAUUAUAUUAAGUAUAUUUUCAUUAUCACGUCAUUUAUUUUGAAAUAAGCAUGCUAGGUUUACAAUAGUGUAUAAAUAAUAGUAUGCUGCAAUUCGAAUUUAUUCAUAGCACCAAUAUUUACAUAACAUCCUCUACUGAUUAAUGUAGUUGAUCUUAUGACCAAGGAAUGAGUAAUUAAUUAUUUUCCAAGUUUCUUGCAACAUGCAUACAUAAUUAUUAUGAAAUUUGCGAUGUAUAAAAGAAGAGAAUUAUAUGUAUCACUAUUUGACAAUAAGAUAGUGAGAAGCACAAUGGACGGGAAUUGGUCACCGCGUUGAACGUGCAGUUAAAAAAUAAUUAUUUUUUUAUUAAUUGCAUAACGUUUGUACAUAUGUAUGUAUGACGCAUAGAUACCCAGAGUUCAAUGCAUGAUCAAAAACUUUGGACAAUGAUGGCAUCUUUCUCAUCUAACAUUCAUUACCGAUAAGUACAUAUGUGGGUUGGAUUGAGUGCUGCAAACUUUAGCAUAAAUUGACCAGGUAAAAUUAGGAAGCAAACAGUCAUCUGAACACUGUAUACCGUAUCAGACGAAACCGCUAGGAGCAAUUGUGAUCAAUUUUUUUUUGUCUAAAAGAUGCAUAAUUUUGGAAUUGGGAAGGAAAACAUCUUAUUUGCUGGAGAGGGCGCCGGUGGGGGAG